UUUCUAUUUUUACAUAUCAUAUUUUAUACCUUAAAAGUUGUACGUAUUGCAAACAAGAAAAUAUCAAGGGAACAUUGAAAUCCAUGGAUUCCAAUUAGAAAAAUUCUAUGUAAGAUCUAUAAGGGCAGGGAUUUUUUUUUUAUUUUGUCUGCAUUUGUUUUUGUACUCCCAACACUAUAUUUGCUGACCAAAUGAAUUGAAUUCAGCAUUUUAUUAAUGUGUUUACUUCUCAGCCCUCACAUAUGCCUAUUUCAUUUGACCAAUUUCUAGACUCUAGCAACCUUUCUCUAUUCCAAACUUUUUAUUCUUAUUACCUGAACCACAUUAAAUCCUCCAUCCUUUCUCCAUUCCUGUUUACUAAACCUUUACUCCUUCAAUUGUGGGCCAGAGAUUGUCUUUUCUCUUCCUUUUAUUCUACAGGGUGUUCCUUUGCCAAAUUUACCUACAAAAAGAAUGUUGGACUCUUGCAAUUUUGUUUGAGAUUCUCAUGAAGAUAAUUAUUGUAACACAAUUGUAUUCUAAAAUAUGAAUUUGACUUCACAUCAGCUAGUUAGCCUAAAUGUCAGCCUAUUUGUAAAAGCCUUUUAGUCCCAUUAUCACCCCGGACAAAAUUAAUGUUUCCUGCCUAUGUCCCAAGGUAAUAUGUACUGUAUGAUAUUGCAAUUAAUUGUGUACAAGUCUGUCUCUCCUGCACACUGUGACUCCUAAGGAUAAGAACAGCUUUCCAUAUUAGCUGGUAUUCAUUAAUCCAUUCAUUCAUCUGACAUACUUUGAGAGUCUGCUUUGCAUCAAGAACUGUGCUAUGUUCUAGGGAUACCAAAGUUGAAUAAGAAAGGGAUCGUAUUCAUCAGGAAUUCAUAGCCUAAUUUGCAUACAAGUAAACGCUUGUGCAAUAUGGUACAGUAUGAUGGGAGCUGUAAUAAAAGAAAGGCACCCAACAGAGCUUUGUUGGGUAUACAUAUUCUGGUAGGUACAAAUAAUAGUUGUGGUAGAGGAUCUGUAAGUUAGCAGCGGAAGUCACUUAACACAGGAAACGUCCUCACAGACUUUCUUUAAUUUUUUAAUGAAAAAAAUGCUUGCAAUUUAUAUCUAUAUCUAUAUCUAUCUAUCUAUCUAUCUAUCUAUCUAUCUAUCUAUCUAUCUAUAUAUCUGUCACGCAGCCAAGAUCAUGUCAUUGCACUACAGCCUGGGU
rnacentral:lncRNA from 1 species